CUCGUGUCGUGAGAUGUUUGGUUAAGUCCUGCAACGAGCGCAACCCUUAUCCUUAGUUACUACCAUUYAGUUGAGGACUCUAAGGAGACUGCCCGAGUAAUCGGGAGGAAGGUGGGGAUGACGUCAAAUCAUCAUGCCUCUUACGAGUGGGGCAACACACGUGCUACAAUGGCCGGUACAAAGAGAAGCGAAGUGGUGACAUGGAGCAAACCUCAAAAAACCGGUCUCAGUUCGGAUUGUAGUCUGCAACUCGACUACAUGAAGUCGGAAUCGCUAGUAAUCGUAGAUCAGC
rnacentral:rRNA from 1 species